ACGCCGUAAACGAUGAAUACUAGGUGUCGGGGAACAAUAGUUCUUCGGUGCCGCAGCAAACGCAUUAAGUAUUCCACCUGGGGAGUACGUUCGCAAGAAUGAAACUCAAAGGAAUUGACGGGGACCCGCACAAGCGGUGGAGCAUGUGGUUUAAUUCGAUGCAACGCGAAGAACCUUACCUGCUCUUGACAUCCCACUGACCGGACAGUAAUGUGUCCUUUUCUUCGGAACAGUGGUGACAGGUGGUGCAUGGUUGUCGUCAGCUCGUGUCGUGAGAUGUUGGGUUAAGUCCCGCAACGAGCGCAACCCUUGUCUUUAGUAGCCAGCAGUUCGGCUGGGCACUUUAGAGAGACUGCCAGGGAUAACCUGGAGGAAGGCGGGGAUGACGUCAAAUCAUCAUGCCCCUUACGAGCAGGGCUACACACGUGCUACAAUGGCGUAAACAAAGGGAAGCGACCCCGCGAGGGUAAGCAAAUCUCAAAAAUAACGUCUCAGUUCGGAUUGUAGUCUGCAACUCGACUACAUGAAGCUGGAAUCGCUAGUAAUCGCGAAUCAGAAUGUCGCGGUGAAUACGUUCCCGGGUCUUGUACACACCGCCCGUCACACCAUGGGAGUCGGAUAUGCCCGAAGUCAGUGACCCAACCAUAUGGAGGGAGCUGCCGAAGGUGGAGCCGAUAACUGGGGUGAAGUCGUAACAAGGUAGCCGUAUCGGAAGGUGCGGUUGGAUCACCUC
rnacentral:rRNA from 1 species